UACGUAGGGUGCAAGCGUUGUCCGGAAUUAUUUGGGCGUAAAGAGCUCGUAGGCGGUUUGUCGCGUCUGCUGUGAAAACGCGAGGCUCAACCUCGCGCCUGCAGUGGGUACGGGCAGACUAGAGUGCGGUAGGGGAGAUUGGAAUUCCUGGUGUAGCGGUGGAAUGCGCAGAUAUCAGGAGGAACACCGAUGGCGAAGGCAGAUCUCUGGGCCGUAACUGACGCUGAGGAGCGAAAGCGUGGGGAGCGAACAGG
rnacentral:rRNA from 1 species